AAGUCGUAACAAGGUAACCGUAGGUGAACCUGCGGUUGGAUCAUUAAACAAACCAAGGUGGAGAGGGAGUCCGACCCACACCAGGGACAGCAUCCCAACGAUGCAGUCGUCCCAGGAGAGUGAACGGUCUUCCUCUCGUUUCGCCACACAUUUUGUGAACCCUCAAACCCGUCCGGCGGGGGAGGAAGUGGAAGGCUCCAGGGUCUCCCAGUUCCUCCGUCAGCGAAGGACAGCAUUGUUCUUUGCCGUGGACAACCCGCCCACCCAACCCUUCCAGCCUUUGCGUUGAAGGGGUUGUUUUGCCCAACUUUUUGGAUCUUUACGAAUUGUGAAUCGUCUCUGAGAAUGCGAUGGUGCAAUUGCACCGUCUUUUGGAAACAAACAUUCAAAAACAACUUUUGGCAACGGAUCUCUUGGCUCUC
rnacentral:misc_RNA from 1 species